rnacentral:rRNA from 1 species
AUACUCCGAGAACUGAAAGGCUUUUUGAAGUCUUCGGAUGGAUAGAAGAACCCCUGAUGCCGUCGAGCCAAGAAAAGUUUCUAAGUUUAGCUAAUGUUGCCCGUACCGUAAACCGACACAGGUGGGUGGGAUGAGUAUUCUAAGGCGCGUGGAAGAACUCUCUUUAAGGAACUCUGCAAAAUAGCACCGUAUCUUCGGUAUAAGGUGUGGUUAGCUUUGUAUUAGGAUUUACUCCGAAAGCAAGGAAACUUACAACAAAGAGUCCCUCCCGACUGUUUACCAAAAACACAGCACUCUGCUAACUCGUAAGAGGAUGUAUAGGGUGUGACGCCUGCCCGGUGCUCGAAGGUUAAUUGAUGGGGUUAGCAUUAGCGAAGCUCUUGAUCGAAGCCCGAGUAAACGGCGGCCGUAACUAUAACGGUCCUAAGGUAGCGAAAUUCCUUGUCGGUUAAAUACCGACCUGCAUGAAUGGCGUAACGAGAUGGGAGCUGUCUCAAAGAGGGAUCCAGUGAAAUUGUAGUGGAGGUGAAAAUUCC